UACGAAGGGGGCUAGCGUUGCUCGGAAUCACUGGGCGUAAAGGGUGCGUAGGCGGGUCUUUAAGUCAGGGGUGAAAUCCUGGAGCUCAACUCCAGAACUGCCUUUGAUACUGAGGAUCUUGAGUUCGGGAGAGGUGAGUGGAACUGCGAGUGUAGAGGUGAAAUUCGUAGAUAUGACAUAGAACACCAAUUGCGAAGGCAGCUCACUACACGAAUAUUGACACUGAGGCACGAAAGCGUGGGGAUCAAACAGG
rnacentral:rRNA from 1 species